UACGUAGGGGGCAAGCGUUAUCCGGAUUUACUGGGUGUAAAGGGAGCGUAGACGGAUGGAUAAGUCUGAAGUGAAAGCCCGCGGCUCAACUGCGGGACUGCUUUGGAAACUGUGCAUCUUGAGUACGGGAGGGGCAGGCGGAAUUCCUGGUGUAGCGGUGAAAUGCGUAGAUAUCAGGAGGAACACCGGCGGCGAAGGCGGCCUGCUGGACCGAAACUGACGUUGAGGCUCGAAAGCGUGGGGAGCAAACA
rnacentral:rRNA from 1 species